rnacentral:rRNA from 1 species
UACGAAGGGGGCUAGCGUUGCUCGGAAUCACUGGGCGUAAAGGGUGCGUAGGCGGGUCUUUAAGUCAGGGGUGAAAUCCUGGAGCUCAACUCCAGAACUGCCUUUGAUACUGAGGAUCUUGAGUUCGGGAGAGGUGAGUGGAACUGCGAGUGUAGAGGUGAAAAUUUCGUAGAUAUUCGCAAGAACACCAGUGGCGAAGGCGGCUCACUGGCCCGAUACUGACGCUGAGGCACGAAAGCGUGGGGAGCAAACAGG